GAUGAACGCUGGCGGCGUGCCUAAUACAUGCCAGUCGAGCGAACAGACGAGGAGCUUGCUCCUCUGACGUUAGCGGCGGACGGGUGAGUAACACGUGGAUAACCUACCUAUAAGACUGGGAUAACUUCGGGAAACCGGAGCUAAUACCGGAUAAUAUAUUGAACCGCAUGGUUCAAUAGUGAAAGACGGUUUUGCUGUCACUUAUAGAUGGAUCCGCGCCGCAUUAGCUAGUUGGUAAGGUAACGGCUUACCAAGGCAACGAUGCGUAGCCGACCUGAGAGGGUGAUCGGCCACACUGGAACUGAGACACGGUCCAGACUCCUACGGGAGGCAGCAGUAGGGAAUCUUCCGCAAUGGGCGAAAGCCGGACGGAGCAACGCCGCGUGAGUGAUGAAGGUCUUCGGAUCGUAAAACUCUGUUAUUAGGGAAGAACAAAUGUGUAAGUAACUAUGCACGUCUUGACGGUACCUAAUCAGAAAGCCACGGCUAACUACGUG
rnacentral:rRNA from 1 species